rnacentral:lncRNA from 1 species
CAAGUGUUGGACGUCCCACUUGUCCACACACCCAAGGUAUCGAGUGAUCUCUUCUGCAUCAAAGAAUAAGGAGAAAGACUGUAAUUCAAGUGUUGAGAUCGCGAACAAAGAUCAAUAGUUAAUCAAAAAUCUAAAAGAUUGAGAUUCAUUUUGGAGAAUAUGGAUCUAAAAUGAGAAGAAAGGUUCAAGAUUGAUCUCGAUGGAUACCUAUAG